AGCGAACGUUAGCGGCGGGCCUAACACAUGCAAGUCGAACGCGAAAGGGAUUCGUCCCCGGUAGCGUGGCGUCCGGGUGAGUAACACGUAGGAAACCUUCCCUAGAGAGUGGGAUAACGUUCCGAAAGGGACGCUAAUACCGCAUAAGCCCACGACCGCUUCGGCGGAUGAGGGAAAAGAUGGCCUCUGUAUACAAGCUAUCACUUUGGGAUGGUCCUGCGGCGCAUCAGCUAGUUGGUAGGGUAAUGGCCUACCAAGGCGAAGACGCGUAGCUGGUCUGAGAGGAUGAUCAGCCACACUGGCACUGAAACACGGGCCAGACUCCUACGGGAGGCAGCAGUGGGGAAUAUUGGACAAUGGGCGCAAGCCUGAUCCAGCCACGCCGCGUGAGUGAUGAAGGCCUUCGGGUUGUAAAGCUCUGUGGGGAGAGGCGAAAACAGUCAUCAAGAAACGGAUGAUUCUUGACGGUAUCUCCUUAGCAAGCACCGGCUAACUCUGUGCCAGCCGCCGCUGUAAUAC
rnacentral:rRNA from 1 species